rnacentral:rRNA from 1 species
GACGAACGCUGGCGGCGGGCUUAACACAUGCAAGUCGAACGGAAAGGCUCUGCUUUUGUGGGGUGAUCGAGUGGCGAACGGGUGGGAAACACGCGAGUGACCUGCACUUGACUGUGGGAUAACUUCUGGUAACUGGGGCUAAUACCGGAUAGGAGCUCUUGCUGCAUGGGGGGGGCUGGCAAGUUUCGGCGGUUGGGGAUGGACUCGCGGCUUAUCAGCUUGCUGGUGGGGUAGUGGCUUACCAAGGCUUGGACGGGUAGCCGGCCUGAGCGGGUGACCGGCCCCGCUGGGCUGGAAAUGCGGCCCGGACUCCUACCGGAGGCAGCAGUGGGGUAUGGUACAUUAUGGGCGGAAGCCAAACGCAGCAACGCCGCGCGCGGGAUGUGGGCCAUCGGUUUGGGUUCCGCAUUCGUCUUAGACGAGGCGUGAGUGACGGUAAUGGAUAAAGAAGCCCCGGCUAACUACGUG